AUUGAACGCUGGCGGCAGGCCUAAUACAUGCAAGUCGAACGAGUGGCGGACGGGUGAGUAAUGUCUGGGAAACUGCCUGAUGGAGGGGUAUAACUACUGGAAACGGUAGAUAAUACCGCAUACGACCAUUUGUGCUCAGAUGGGUUUAGCGUGUUGGUGGGGUAACGGCUCAUCAAGGCGACGAUCCCUAGCUGGUCUGAGAGGCUGACCAGCCACACUGGAACUGAGACACGGUCCAGACUCCUACGGGAGGCAGCAGUGGGGAAUAUUGCGCAAUGGGCGCAAGCCUGACCCAGCCAUGCCGCGUGUAUGAAGAAGGCUUUCGGGUUGUAAAGUACUUUCAGCGGGGAGGCGUUACCCGAAGAAGAAGCACCGGCUAACUCCGUGCCAGCAGCCGCGGUAAUAC
rnacentral:rRNA from 1 species